CCUACGGGAGGCAGCAGUGAGGAAUAUUGGUCAAUGGGCGCGAGCCUGAACCAGCCAAGUCGCGUGAGGGAUGACGGUCCUACGGAUUGUAAACCUCUUUUGCCGGGGAGCAAGCGUGCGUUCGUGAACGCGCGUCGGGAGUACCCGGAGAAAAAGCAUCGGCUAACUCCGUGCCAGCAGCCGCGGUAUUACGGAGGAUGCGAGCGUUAUCCGGAUUUAUUGGGUUUAAAGGGUGCGUAGGCGGGAUGCCAAGUCAGCGGUAAAAAUGCGGGGCUCAACGCCGUCGAGCCGUUGAAACUGGCGGUCUUGAGUGGGCGAGAAGUAUGCGGAAUGCGUGGUGUAGCGGUGAAAUGCAGAGAUAGCACGCAGAACUCCGAUUGCGAAGGCAGCAUACCGGCGCCCUACUGACGCUGAGGCACGAAAGCGUGGGGAUCGAACAGGAUUAGAUACCCGUGUAGUC
rnacentral:rRNA from 1 species